rnacentral:pre_miRNA from 1 species
CUGGUACUCCCUCCGUUCGGAAUUACUUGUCGCAGAAAUGGAUGUAUUUAGACGUAUUUUAGUUCUAGAUACAUCCAUUUCCGAGACAAGUAAUUCCGAACGGAGGGAGUAGUUU